GAGCACGUAGGUGGGUUUGUAAGUCAGAUGUGAAAGCCUCCUGUUCAACGGGAGAAUUGCAUCUGAAACUACUGAUCUUGAGUGUAGGAGGGGAGAAUGGAACUUCUGGUGGAGCGGUGAAAUGCGUAGAUAUCAGAAGGAACGCCGGCGGCAAAAGCGAUUCUCUGGCCUAUUACUGACACUCAGUGUGCGAAAGCUAGGGGAGCAAACGGGAUUAGAUACCCCGGUAGUCCUAGCCGAAAACGAUGGGCACUAAGUAGAAGGGGGUUU
rnacentral:rRNA from 1 species